GAUGAAGAACGUAGCGAAAUGCGAUAAGUAAUGUGAAUUGCAGAAUUCAGUGAACCAUCGAAUCUUUGAACGCACAUUGCGCCCGGCAGUAAUCUGCCGGGCAUGCCUGUCCGAGCGUCAUUUCUGCCCUCGAGCCUGUCCAGCAUCUAGGUGCUGUUCGGGUUCGGCGUUGGGGCACUACGGGAAGCCUCGUGCUAUCCUCCGUAGGCCCCGAAAUGAAGUGGCGGUCCUGCCGCGGCUCCCCCUGCGUAGUAUUACAGCUCGCUUCGGGACCCGGUGGAGGCCUGCCGUCAAACCUUACUCUCUAAGUUUGACCUCGGAUCAGGUAGGGUUACCCGCUGAACUUAAGCAUAUCAAUAAGCGGAGGA
rnacentral:misc_RNA from 1 species